rnacentral:misc_RNA from 1 species
GAUGAAGAACGCAGCGAACUGCGAUAAGUAAUGUGAAUUGCAGAAUUCAGUGAGUCAUCGAAUCUUUGAACGCACAUUGCGCCCUGUGGUAUUCCGCAGGGCAUGCCUGUUCGAGCGUCAUUUCAACCCUCAAGCCCCGCUUGGUGUUGGGCCCCGCCCGCUGUGGCCGGCCCUAAAGACAGUGGCGGCGCCGCCUGGCCCUCAGCGUAGUACAUCUCUCGCUCCAGGGUCCGGUGGCCGCCUGCCAGAACCCCCCAACUCUGUGGUUGACCUCGGAUCAGGUAGGGAUACCCGCUGAACUUAAGCAUAUCAAUAAGCGGAGGA